AUUUCCGAAUGGGGAAACCCACCGCGCAAGCGGUAUCCCACACUGAAUCCAUAGGUGUGGGAAGCGAACCCGGCGAACUGAAACAUCUAAGUAGCCGGAGGAAAGGACAUCAACCGAGACUCCGCUAGUAGUGGCGAGCGAACGCGGACCAGGCCAGUCAUUCGAUCUACAUAACCGGAACCGUCUGGAAAGUCGGGCCAUAGCGGGUGAUAGCCCCGUACGGAUAAACCGGAUCGGAUGCUCGAGUAGGGCGGGGCACGUGAAACCCUGUCUGAACAUGGGGGGACCACCCUCCAAGCCUAAGUACUCCUCAGUGACCGAUAGCGAACAAGUACCGUGAGGGAAAGGUGAAAAGCACCCCGACAAGGGGAGUGAAACAGAACCUGAAAUCGGAAGCCUACAAGCAGUCGGAGCCACCGCGCGUGGUGACGGCGUACCUUUUGUAUAAUGGGUCAGCGACUUCAUGUGCCGUGCAAGCUUAAGCCGUUAGGUGUAGGCGCAGCGAAAGCGAGUCUGAAUAGGGCGAAUAAGUACGUCGCAUGACGACCCGAAACCAGGUGAUCUAUCCAUGAGCAGGUUGAAGGUAAGGUAACACUUACUGGAGGACCGAACCGGUGAAUGUUGAAAAAUUCUCGGAUGGCUGUACCAAUUCUAAUCAAACUCCGAAUACCCAAGAGAACUAUCCGGGAGACACACGGCGGGUGCUAACGUCCGUCGUGAAAAGGGAAACAACCCUAACCAUCAUCUAAGGCCCCCAAGUACUGGCUAAGUGGGAAACGAUGUGGGUUUGCUUUGACAACCAGGAUGUUGGCUUAGAAGCAGCCAUCAUUUAAAGAAAGCGUAACAGCUCACUGGUCAAGCGAACCUGCGCGGAAAAUGUAACGGGGCUCAAGCCAGUCGCCGAAGGUAUGGGUGUGCGUAAGCACGCGGUAGCGGAGCGUUCCGUAAGCCGAUGAAGGUGAGGCGCGAGCCUUGCUGGAGGUAUCGGAAGUGAGAAUGCUGACAUGAGUAGCGAUAAAGAGGGUGAGAGACCCUCUCGCCGAAAGCCCAAGGGUUCCUGCGUAAAGCUAAUCUGCGCAGGGUUAGUCGGCCCCUAAGGCGAGGCCGAAAGGCGUAGUCGAUGGGAAUCAGGUGAAUAUUCCUGAACCAGUUGGAAGUGACGGAUCUGGUAAAUUGUCAGGGCUUAUUGGAUUGUCCUGGCAGUGAACAGGUCCCUGGAAAUAACUCCAACGGAGACCGUACCCGAAACCGACACAGGUGGGCAGGUAGAGUAUACCAAGGCGCUUGAGAGAACUAUGCUGAAGGAACUCGGCAAAUUGCACGCGUAACUUCGGGAUAAGCGUGACUCUCUUUUGGGCAACCAGAUGAGAGUGGCACAAGCCAGGGGGUAGCGACUGUUUAUCAAAAACACAGGGCUCUGCGAAGCCGCAAGGCGACGUAUAGGGUCUGACGCCUGCCCGGUGCCUGAAGGUUAAAAGGAGGGGUGCAAGCUCUGAAUUGAAGCCCAAGUAAACGGCGGCCGUAACAAUAACGGUCCUAAGGUAGCGAAAUUCCUUGUCGGGUAAGUUCCGACCUGCACGAAUGGCGUAA
rnacentral:rRNA from 1 species